GUCUGGCGCGGUGGUGCACACCUGUAAUCCCAGUGGCUCAGGAGGCUGAGGCAGGAGGAUCGUGAGUUCAAAACCAGCCUCAGCAACAGUGAGGUGCUAAGCAACUCAGCGAGACCCUGUCUCUA
rnacentral:sRNA from 1 species